rnacentral:rRNA from 1 species
UACGUAGGGGGCAAGCGUUGUCCGGAUUUAUUGGGCGUAAAGGGCUCGUAGGUGGCCAACUAAGUCAGACGUGAAAUCCCUCGGCUUAACCGGGGAACUGCGUCUGAUACUGGAUGGCUUGAGUUCGGGAGAGGGAUGCGGAAUUCCAGGUGUAGCGGUGAAAUGCGUAGAUAUCUGGAGGAACACCGGUGGCGAAGGCGGCAUCCUGGACCGACACUGACGCUGAGGAGCGAAAGCCAGGGGAGCAAACGGG